rnacentral:lncRNA from 1 species
UAGUUUAACAUGCUGUAAUUCAUCACCUUUCAACUCGUUUCAAACACAUAAAAUCAAUUCAUAUAAAUCAAGUAAUCAACAUGGCUUAUGAAUUUCUUAAAACUUUGGCUCGUGCCAAAAUCAUUCUCAUACUCAGUUAUCAGGGAUACCUUGCCCGAGGGCUAUCCCAAUUGAGACCGCCAAGGCUGUUAAAAAGUUAUGUACGCAUAAAUCAUGUUUUUAUUUUGAAAACAUAGUCGUUCCUUGGCGUUGGCUGAGUUCACCCUCACGUGGUGGUUUAGCGUGAAGUGAACUCUAAAGUGUUAACCUCAGGAGUUAUCCAUCCACACCUCUCAUAAUGAGGUAUGAAUAUAAUAGGGUUACCGUACCCCUUUAAUAGGCUAGUCCAUGGAACCCGUCCACUGCAGUGACCAAUAUAUAACCCACCAAGUCAAUAAAAUUCAACAGCAUGACAUGGCAAUUAUUUUAUUUUACAGCCUCUCAAGGCAAAUUAACAGCUCAUACAUUUUCAACACAAAUACCAAUUCAGUCAUUCAUGCAAAUAUUAUCAUAAGCCAUUCAAUUCAAACCAUGAUUUAUAACACAGCAAUUAGUCUCCAAUUACUUCAUUUUCAAAACCAUCUUUCAAUUUCAAGACAAUUUUAUAAAAUCAUUUCAUUUAAAAACAUUUUGCUUAUAAAACAUAAAGAUUUACCAUUUAAACUCAUUUUUCAUAAAAUCACAAAAUCAGAUAAAAACCACUUUAGAUAAUUGAAACGAUAGUAAGCUUACUCACUAUUUCGGGAGUCGAAUUUCGAGUACUCCGAUUCUUGAUCCUCAAGUACUAUCUCUUUACUUUUGCCAGAAUGCUCACCACCUAGACAUAAUGCACAAUAAGCCAUUUACUACAUUUGUGCUAAAUUGUUAUAAAACCAAUUCAGGCUCUAUACUAAUGCAUGAAAUGGAAUGCGAAUUGUUCGGAUUAUCGUCUAAACACGGUAUUCUACACAAAUUCAAUUGUGUACCUAAAUAAAACGGUAUUGGCCUAAUUCGAUCUAUCACUCGAUUAAUUGGCCAAUAUGUCCAAUUUAACUCCAAAUAAUUCCAUUUUUCUCCCAAUACUCCAAAUCAUCAAACACAAGUCAAAUAGCAUAAAAUCUAGCAAAAUCAUCUUCACAUUUUCUCUUGGAAAAAUUCGGCCAUGGUGGUUGCAUCAACAUUAUAAUUUUUCAAGCUUGAUUCUCACACCAUAAAUCACUAAUUCCUAACCAAAUCACUUGAAAUAAAAUCAAAAUCAUCAUCAAUAUUCCACAUGGAGAAUUCGGCCAAUGAUGGGUGAUGGGAGGAAAUGAAUUUUUCUUGUUGACUUUUCAUGCUACACAUCACUAACUAACUAAAAACACUUAAAUACAUUGAAAUCUAACCAAAUCAAGCAUCAAAACCUCCCUCUAAGUGUUUGGCCGGCAUGGGAUUCAUCAUGAAAUCAUGUGAUUCAACCAUGGAAAAUAAGAAAAAAUGCUUAAGAAAGAGAGAUCUCAAGCUAAAUUGAAAAUUCUUACCCUUUUUUCACUUGUUUCCUUGAAUUUUCACACUUUUCCCUUGAAUUUUUCCACCUUGGGUUUUGUUCUUCCUUUUCUUCCUUUGUUCUU